AACCAUUCUCACCUGCGGCUAGACCUGCGGAGGGAUCAUUACACAAUACAAUAUGAAGGCUGUCCGCAGCUGGAGUAUUUUAUUACCCUUGUCUUUUGCGCACUUGUUGUUUCCUGGGCGGGUUCGCUCGCCACCAGGACCACCAAAUAAACCUUUUUUAUGCAGUUGCAAUCAGCGUCAGUACGAACAAUGUAAAUCAUUUACAACUUUUAACAAUGGAUCUCAGAUCGGAAGAGCACA
rnacentral:misc_RNA from 1 species